rnacentral:lncRNA from 10 species
GCUAUAGUGCCCAUGGAAAGACUCUAGUCUGAAGAUACCAGUCUCUCCCUCCCAAGAUCACCUCCCCUGACCAACCUUCUGCACUCCUGACAGAUACAAGGGAGCAAGCAAGUUGCACCCAACCUAAUAGUAAAUUGCAGGGACAUUUCCAUUCUAAGGAAGGAAUUUUUGUGUGUGUUGCAACUCAGCUUCUGCUCUGGCAUUUUGCUGUGCAUUUAUAUUGCCAAUCAUGUUGGAGAGUCCAUGUGGUGAUUUCUGAAAACGAGAUGUGAGAAAGAAGAGGAUAAUUUAAGUCUAGACCUACAGAUUGUGCUGAUAAAGUGAUGAAGAACUACAAUCUUCUUAGUCAUUUCAUUGUAUAAGUGCAAUAAAGGAUUUUGUGUCUUUCCUGGCAAACAACUUGUGACCACAGUGAUGGCUCCAGCAGAAUGGAAAAGACCCUUUACCUCACAUCUCAGAAGUAAAGAUGCUGAUUAUUUGACAUCGCCAUUGGAAUCUCAAAACAGUGUAAAGCAUUUGCUAAAAAGAGUCACUUUCUGAGAAAUGACUCAGAAUUCGACUUACGUACUAGCAGAACUUAUUGCCCAUAAAAGGAAAGGCCACACUUUUUGUGAAAACUUAAUAAUCCCUAGGAUGUAAAAUUAUACUGAGUUAAAUCCUAGUCCCAUUUUUAGUACAAG